rnacentral:lncRNA from 1 species
AGUCUGGAAUGGCCUCGUCCUGCCUCCCCCACCUUGAAGCCUCUGCUUUUCUCUUCCAGCAUCUGCGCUGCCUGAUUUGCUGAGCACCUACUAUGCAUCAGACGCUGUGUUCUAGGCAAGGGGGAUACACCUGAUGGAAGAAGGUCCUUCCCUAGACGUAGCUAACAUCCCAGUGUGGGAGAUGACACGAAACAUUGUCCCCACCCUGAAGAUCACCACUGAAACCUCUGGGACCCAUGUACAUGUGCAAGACAGAGUGAAUCUCACCUGCCACGUCCUCCACUUCUAUCCCGCCCACCUGCGACUCACCUGGAUGGAGAACAGGAGCAUGAUCCAGACCCUGGUGUCCCCUCGUCCCCUCAGGCCACCAGAAAUCCAGAUGGGACAUACUCUCUGGAGCACACGUGGCAGGCAGAGGCCACGCUGGAGGAGCGUGAGUUUGCUUGCUGGGUGGUCCACGAUGAGCAGCCCCCACUCAAGGCCAACGUCACCCUGCAAGCCCAGGUGCGCAGGCAGGGGAAAGUUUAUUUAAGUUCCUUAUAGAUUGUGGAUCUUCGACCUUUGUCGGAUGCGCGCUUUGCGAAUAUUUUCUCCCAUUUUGUGGGUCGUCUGUUGGCCGUGCUGAUCGUUUCUCUGGCCCGCCUUGCCGCCUGGAAUCUCUGCCUCCGUCUCUCGCUCACUCUUUGCGGCCUCAAACCGUUUUCUCCACAAGAGGGAGCUGUCGGCCGGCAGUUCAGACCCAGAGAGCGCGGGCGGCGCUCCUUCCGCCCGGCUGGGAUGAGCUCGGGAGAAUGAACUACCGGCCCAGAGGCUGGGAUGAGCUCGGGAGAAUGAACUACCGGCCCAGAGGCUGGGAUGAGCUCGGGAGAAUGAACUACCGGCCCAGAGGCUGGGAUGAGCUCGGGAGAAUGAAUUACUGGCCCAGAGUGGGCCGGCUGGGCGGUGGGGGCGCUCAGUGUCCGAGAGGGUGGGUGGAGGUCAUUAGGAUCGGCCGGGCCUUGUGAGCUAGGGGUAAGCCAGCCUAUGGACCCACAGCCCUCCAGAACCACGUGAAGUCAAAAAGGACAGUCCCCUGGGGGCAGUGAGGGUGGAUGCCUCGGAGUAUUACAGCGCAGGCCGCUGCCAGGGUAAGGGUGCCGGACCGGCAACAACAGCCCAUCUUCCCACCAGGGCCCUCCACCUCGCAUUCUCUCUCUCCCUGACGGAAUUGGCCUCUUAUCUGGCUGCUGUAAGAAUUCUUAAGAGGAAUGAUCCCACUCAGCUUUCAGUCUCCCCGUGCCUUUUUGUCUGUUGUCCAGCAGAGAGAAGAAAAACACUCACCCAGCAGGAUAUACAGGUCUGGCUGAAAAACUCAAAACUGGUCCUUUCUGAUCAGAAGCAAGUUACGAUACUUCUUUAUUGACUCAUGCUGGUUUUUUCUUCUUUUAUUUUUCUCUUUUGCCUGCAUGCGGUAUAUCUGGCCCACUGCUGCAACAUUAACCCCCUGGGAGCAUCCUUUUGAUUAUAUGGCUCCGCUAUGCAGCUUUGUGGGGCCCCGUGGUCUGCAGGGGGAAGGGCAGCCCCUUCCUUUUCUGGCAUUUAGGCCCCUUUCUAUUUGGUGUUAACAAAGCAUUGCAGCUAUCCUUCCCCAACCUGGCCCAUAAAUGCCUUCAUCAGCACCCUCACCUGUUACGAACUCCCCACUCUGUCUCUGUUCCUACUGGGUGACACCCGUAGAGCAUUUACUGCACACUAGGCAUCCUCAAAUACAUUAUCUGAUCCUACAACAGAGCCCAGAGCUAGCACAGGGACCAAGGUCUCAGAGGUUCCAAACAGCAUAGCUGGGGUUAGAAUGCAGGCGUGUCUGUUCAAAAAUUCAAUGUGUUUUUCUGCAUUUUUCUUUCCUAUCCUGCCCGAGAAUACAAAGCUUAGUGUUAUCUCAAGUCUCUUCUCAAAUCUCAAUUUUAAAUGCUCUAUUUCUGAUAUUUAUUUCUUCCUGAAUUGUGUGGUCUUAUCGGUCCAUACCAGUUAGUUCUCACAAUUAGUAUUUAAACUACAAGGGCGUUCCCAAAGUCCCCCGACCUGGGGUUUUAUUCCAUUUACACCCAUCUUCCGUGAUUAGACUCUCACAUCCUUGAAGCAGGGACUGGCUCUUAUGUUUCGAGGUGGCCAAACGUCGGAGUCAAACAGAUCAGUGUCCCCAGCCAUGUGACCUAAGACAAAACAACUCCCUUUCUUUUUUUGAGAUGGAGUUUUGCUCUUAUGGCCCAGGCUGGAGUGCAAUGGUGUGAUUUCAGUUCACUGCAAUCUCUGCCUCUCGGGUUCAAGUGAUUCUCCUGCCUCAGCUUCCCAAGUAGCUGGGAUUACAGGCACACACCACCAUGGCCAGCUAAUUUUGUAUUUUUAGUAGAGAUGGGGUUUCACCGUGUUGGUCAGGCUGGUCUCGAACUCCUGAACUCAGGUGAUCCACCUACCUCGGCCUCCCAAAGUGCUGGGUUACAGGCGUGAGCCACCACACCUGGCCGCAACUCCCUUUCUGAGUCAAGUUUUCCAUUGUUGUAAUGACAAUUGUUAUACCCACCUCAAAGAGCCCUGCUUAAGAUUCCUUUCCUUGACUCCUGCUUGGCAUCUGGACAAUGGGGCCCAUAGCAAGUUCUCUGCAGUGACUGUUUGCAGUUUCCACAGUGCCUAGCCCAGAGCUGAGCUGCAAGUAGGACAAUAUUAAAGGUCAUUGGUUAAUAUAGAGCCAACUGUGCAGAAGUAGAGGCAGCUAUGAUGUAACAGAAAAAGGCCUUGGCUUGGAGUCAGAAUUCCUGGGUUACAAUGUCAGUUCUGUUCACUGUGAGGCCCUUGGAUGAGUCACUAACCCUCCCUGAGCCUUUUCUUUAUCUGUUAAUAUUAAAAAUAUGAUUAAUAAUAAUUCCUUGGAUGGUCAUUGUGAGUAUAUGGUGCGGAGGGCUACCGUUUAUAUAGUGAUUACUGUGUGCUACAUAUUCUACACUAGUUACAUCACUUAAUUUAUUAAUUAACUCUGAGAGAAAUGCAAAUCAAAACCACAAUUAGAUACCAUCUCACACCAGUCAGAAUGGCAAGUAUUAAAAACUCAAGAAAUGACAGAUGCUGGCAAGGCUGUGGAGCAAUAGGAACGCUUUUACACUGUUGGUGGCAAUGUAAAUUAGUUCAACCAUUGUGGAAGACAGUGUGGUGAUUCCUCAAGGAUCUAGAACCAGAAAUACCAUUUGACCCAGCGAUCCCAUUACUGGGUACAUACCCAAAGGAAUAUAAAUCAUUCUAUUACAAAGAUACAUACAUGCGUAUGUUCAUUGCAGCACUACUCACAAUAGCAAAGCAGUAAAAUAAAUUCCUUGACAUGGAAUCAAUCCAAAUGUCCAUUGGUGAUAGACUGGAUAAAUAAAAUGUGGUACAUAUACCCCACGGAAUACUACGCAGCCAUAAAAAGGAAUGAGAUUGUGUCCUUUGCAGGGAUGUGGAUAAAGCUGGAAGCCAUCAUCCUCAGCAAACUAAUGCAGGAAGAGAAACUCAAACACUACGUGUUCUCACUCAUAAGUGGGAGCUGAACAAUGAGAACACAUGGACACACGGAGGAGAACAACACACACCGAGGCCUGUUGCAGCAGGUGAGGGGAAGGAGAGCAUCAGGACCAAAAGCUAAUGCAUGCGGGGCUUAAUACCUAGGUGACGGGUUGAUAGGUGCAGCAAACCACCAUGGCACAUGUUUACCUAUGCAACAAACCUGCACAUUACGUACAUGUAUCCCAGAACUUAAAGUAAAAUAAAAUUUAAAAAAAGAAAGAAAAGAAAAAUGUACUUCAUCAAAACUAAUGGCUAAAUAAACAAAGGAAGUCUGAAUUUAAUUAUACUCCAGAUAUCAAAAUGGGAUGAAUAGUUGUUAUAAAAUUUAAGCCAUUCUUCUUCUAUUAAAAAAAAUCGCCCCCAUUUUACAGAUGAAAAAACUGAGGCUCAGAGAGUUAAGUUGCUUGGGCUUCAGUGGAGAGUGGAAAUGUAAACUUGGGUUGAGUGAGAUCCUAAAGCCUGUGCUCCUAACCUUUUCUCCAUGGUUCCAGCCUCUUCUCCAUGACCCAGCCUCUGAGAAAUGAGGUUUUCUUCCAUUUUCAAAGACUGAGGGUAGGGCUGAGUGACAGUAAGGGGUGCCGACCCUGGAGCCUGACUACCUGGCUAAGAUCCCAGCUCUGCCACUGACUGAUGGACCUUAGACAAGUUACUUAGCCUGCCUGGCCUCAGUUUCCUCAUCUGUGAAAUGGGGAUAGUAACAGCACCCACUUCUGAGGGCUGCUGUGAGAACUCAGUGACUUAGGGAAGAGCCUGUAGGCAGGGUAGGUGCCAAGUGAGUGUUCGCUAUGCAGUAUCUGUAGGAGUUGACCUCCUUACAAACUGCUGUUGCCCAUUGCUACAGUUUCACUGUCCGGCCUCCGUUAUCAGAUUCAGAAACUGGUUCCUAUCAGAACAUAACCUUUACAUCUUAUGAAAGAGGAAGCAAUGGGCUUCUUGGCAGAUGCUGUGUAUUUGUUCACACUGGGGUUCAGGCACCUCUGUGCCCUCUCAUGGGAGGGGUCUAUCCUUGCAGGCCAGAGUGUCCAGCCUUACAAGUUGCAAGGCCCCCUUCAGCGAUCUGAGCCUGGCACAAGGAUCCGAUUGACCUAUGCAUCCUCUGGGUUCUCGACACACCAGGUUACUGUGACCUGGCUUAAAAACAAACACGAGCUCCCAAACCCCCAGACCAGCGUCCAGUACAGUGGACACACCUACAAUGUGACCAGCAGUGUGCUUGUCCCGCUGAUGGAUGAUGAUGUGUUCUCCCACGUCGUUUGCCAUGUGGAGCACAAGUUGACGUGGUUUUUCCAGAAAACCACUGGCCUGGACCAGUACCUCCAGGGAAGAAGAUUUGAAGAGCUUGGGAAACUAAAUUCUAGGGCCAAUGGUGUCUUUAGACGGGUUGGACCAAUGCUUGGUAGAUCUGUGAAUUCCAUGAGGUCAUAAAGUAUCAUGCCUAGAAGAAAUCUUAACCGUCAUCCCAUUGUUCUGACAACUGUAAAAGUCAGAGAAGGCAAGUGAGUGGUCCAAGCUUGCAUAGCAGUAAAAUUAAUUCCUUGAAUGUAUAUUGGACUUUAAAAUCUACAAACUAUAUCUCUCUUCAUUUUCUCAUUCACAAAACAGGGGGAGAAUUGUGCUAUUGGGAAGUAAACACAUCAUGUUACAUGGCAGAAAAUAUUGGUAGUAAUGUCUCAAACAUUUACAGCACGCAGACAGUAAAGCACACUCAUGUGAAUGGACUUCAAUGCAUAGAACUUCCCUAUACUGUUUGUGCCAUUUGUGGGUUACAGAAGGAAACUGAGGCUCAAAGAAGUGAAGGCUGCUUAAGGUUGUAAAGCCGUUCCCCCUACAGUGACAGUGUCCCAGUCUUCCACCUCCUCCAGCUUGGUGGCUGUUACUUGCCUCGUGCAGAGAUUCUAUCCACAAAACGUGCACCUUGCCUGGCUAGAGGACUGCCAUACACUCAAAGGCACUGAGCAACCCACAUUAAAGAAGAAUAAUGAUAGGUCCUACACCCUGGAAAAGCUGCUGCUGGUGAAUGCAUCAGUGCAGGGGCCUGAGCGGGUGCUCACCUGCAUGAUGGAACAUGAGGGACAGCCUCCCAAACGGGCUAACCUCGUACUGUCCACAGCAGCCCACACCGCUUAUAAGCCCAUUGGGAGCACAGCCCCUGCAUGCCCUGUGAUACAUUACCUCCAGCCCUCUCCAAGGGGUUCAAGUGGGGAGAGGCUGCAAGGACUUAUAGGUCACUAAAGACCCCUUUAUUCCGUCCCUGCCACCCCCAUCGCGGACACGCUCCCUUCCGCACACCCUCCUGGUGUUCCUUCCCUCAGAGCUUUGGAGCUGAGUCAGGGACGAGUUUUCUUCAUGAGGACUCCAGGGAUGUCUUGACCCUGAUGUACUGAGCUUCAGAUUGGCCCUGCUUCCAACCAAGAGAAUUAAACUGCUCAAGAAAAGAAGUUUCCAUUCUGCCCCUGGUCAUGAACAAUCCUUAAUUUUCAGAGCAGUUUUUACUUUUGUGCGGGGCUUUUGAAAAUAUGAUUUCAUUUUAACACACAUAUAUUUUGAAAUCACUGGGAAGUUGCAUAAGCAUUUUUCUCUUCUGAAAUGUACAGAAAAAAUACAAACAAUACCCAUGGACCUAACAUCCUAUCUUUUAAAAACAGUAACAUUUGCCAUUAUGAUCUUCAGUUCUUUAAAAACAAAAAACAAAAAACAAAACACUGUUCUGAAUUUAUCAUUCUCAAGCAUGGUUUUAUAACUUUAUAACAUAUGUAUGAAUCCUUAAGCAAUGUAUAGUAUUACUUUUCAUAUUUUAACAUUAUAUAGAUGCUUUGACACUGUACACAGCAAUCUGGAACUUUAUUUUUUAUGCUUAACACAGUUUGUGAGGUUUAUUUCUGUUGAUAUAUGGAGCUACAUUUUAUUAAUUUUCCACUGUUCUGUGGUCUUCUAUUGUAAGAAUAUGCCACAAUUUAUCAAUUCUUCUCAAGACAGAUUUUGAAGCUUCAUUCAGUGUUUUGCUAGUACAACUUUGCAACAAACAUUCUUUUAUUUGUUUCCCUGGGCAUGUGUGGGAGAGUCUGCCUUGUUCCUCUAGCUUGGUGCACAAAGCUGCAGUAUUGGUAUGAUUUGGGAGCUUUUGUUACACAAAAAAAAUUUCCAAUUGUUGCUUAAGUUUUACUCUUUCCAUUUAUCCCUUUCAUCUCGCUAUAUAUA